rnacentral:rRNA from 1 species
UUCCGGUUGAUCCCGCCGGAGGUUACUGCUAUCGAGGUUCGACUAAGCCAUGCGAGUCGAAUGUAGCAAUACAUGGCGUACUGCUCAGUAACACGUGAUAACCUACCCUUGAGACGGGGAUAAACCCGGGAAACUGGGUAUAAUACCCGAUAGAUCUCGACUGCUGGAAUGCAUCGAGCUCUAAAGCUCCGGUGCUCAAGGAUGGGUCUGCGGCCUAUCAGGUAGUAGUGGGUGUAGCGUACCUACUAGCCUACGACGGGUACGGGUUGUGAGAGCAAGAGCCCGGAGAUGGACUCUGAGACACGAAUCCAGGCCCUACGGGGUGCAGCAGGCGCGAAAACUUUACAAUGCUGGAAACAGCGAUAAGGGGACCUCGAGUGCCAGG